rnacentral:tRNA from 1 species
UGGUUGUUGGUGUAACGGUAGCACGGUAGCUUGUGACGCUAUUAGCGUAGGUUCGACCCCUACACUUCCACCCA